CUAGUAGAGGACCUGAAUCCAGUUCCCAGCAUCUCCAUCUGGUAGCUCACAAGUACCUGUAACUCCAGCUGCAGAUGAGCUAAUGCCUCUGGCCUCUGCCAGCGAGCGCGCACACACACACACACACACACACACACACACACACACACACACACAAUUUUCCACAGUAAUUAACAUUUAAAGAGAAAGGUGAUUAGCUCCUAAGGGUGCUAACUUCAUUCUUAGGUCUGUCCACUGAUGAAUUUGUACUACAUGGGCUCUGCGAAAAUGGGGCCUGUGUAAAGGAAGUGGAUCCCUGGGGGGGAGGGGGGAGGUAUGUCUUGUAAAACUAUCUUAUCUCACUUCCUCUGCAUCGUUCCCUCUGUGAGACAAGCAACCUUGCUCCACCAUGUCCCUCUGUCAUGCCUUUAUGACUUAACACAGAUCUGAGUCAACACACUGAAAACCUAAGCUACACUAAGCCCUUCCCCCUUAACAUGUUUCUCCCAGGCAUGUGUCACUCGGUUAGAAAAGCUGACAACACCGGCUCUCCAUGUCCUUCUGCCUCUGGGUGGCUGGGGCUGUCCCUUUCAUUCCUGGCAUCAGUUUACCCCUUGAGCAUAACUCUCUAGACGAUGCAAAGUCCAUGUGCUCUGUGCAGCAGAAGAGUUUGGAGCAGUGGGUAAGCUGGGUGCCUGGCUUGGGAUUCUUGUGUACCAUUAAUGGGUGGUGGCACUUCUUAGGAUCAAAGUCACCUCCCUCUGAACCCUUGGUUUCUUCAUCUGCAAGAUGAAAGAAUUAAUAGCAAUGACAUCAGAAGUCUACAGUGCCUUUUGGUGACUAUAGCAGGCAGAAAAAAGAAAAAAAAAGAAGAAAAAGAAAGAAAAGCCAUCUAUACGCUGGUGACUCCGACUUUCACAAACUGCAGAAUCACACGUAUCCAGCUUCCUACUCAACACACCAAAUAGGCAUCUCCAGCCCCCGUGUCCAAAGCUGAGUUCCUGAUUCCCUCACCCCCACUCGUGUUCUGCCCCCGUUCUCCACCAGCCCCUUCCUUCCGGUUGAACGGGCCAGAAGCCUGAGCGCUGUCUUUCUGCCUCUUCCUCUCUCCCUGCAUUCCAUCUGCUAGAGGGCGCUCAGUGCAUCCUUCGCCAAUUCUCAGGAGCCAUCCCUUCUCCUCUGGAUUCCUUCAUCCACCUCCUGGCCACUUGUGCUACACUUGCUCUGCACUCUGUCCCCAGACCAGUAGCCCCAAAGCCACAGCUCCCCUAUGCUUAGAAGUCUCUGUGUUAACUUAGGGAACAAGCCUGCAGCCCUCUUAGGGCACUCCCAGCCUUCCCCACUGACCCCACAUGCCCUGACACACUCCCUUCUGGAAGAACCGUCUGCAGACAUUCAUUCGCACACCUCUAGAUCCUUGUUCGUAUGUUCCAUGAGGUGCCCCAGUUUCAGCUGGUGUCCUGCCCCUCCUUGGCACUACUUUUUCCUUUUCUGCUGGCCUUCUCCUGCAGACUCAUUCAUGUCUCUUGCUUGUCACCUGCUUUCCAGCUGCACCCCAACCACAUUCCCACUGGGCUGAAAUAUGUCUUUAUUGUGAGUCCCUGGCCCACAAUAAGCUAAGA
rnacentral:lncRNA from 1 species